rnacentral:rRNA from 1 species
GACGAACGCUGGCGGCGUGCUUAACAAAUGCAAGUCGAACGGAAAGGCCCUGCUUUUGUGGGGUGCUCGAGUGGCGAACGGGUGAGUAACACGUGAGUAACCUGCCCUUGACUUUGGGAUAACUUCAGGAAACUGGGGCUAAUACCGGAUAGGAGCUCCUGCUGCAUGGUGGGGGUUGGAAAGUUUCGGCGGGUGGGGAUGGACUCGCGGCUUAUCAGCUUGUUGGUGGGGUAGUGGCUUACCAAGGCUUUGACGGGUAGCCGGCCUGAGAGGGUGACCGGCCACAUUGGGACUGAGAUACGGCCCAGACUCCUACGGGAGGCAGCAGUGGGGAAUAUUGCACAAUGGGCGGAAGCCUGAUGCAGCAACGCCGCGUGCGGGAUGACGGCCUUCGGGUUGUAAACCGCUUUCGCCUGUGACGAAGCGUGAGUGACGGUAAUGGGUAAAGAAGCACCGGCUAACUACGUG